UGCUGGAGGAUGGAGGGAAGGUGGGUGCAGUGCUCGGCUGUGAGACGGUUGGGCUCUGCCAGCGGGGUGCAGCUCUGAAAAAGGCAAACGUGGUGCAGGAUUGCAUCAGGCGAGGCAUUUUCAGCGCAGAUGAGAAGACCUUACCCUUGCGCAAGGUGCUGCUAGAAUCUCACCUGGGGGGGUUGUGCCCAGCUCUGGUACUCGAGCAAGGUGCUGCUGAAUCAGAGGAGGGAGGGAAGGGUUGCUGCUAGUCUGCCCCGACAAACGGAGCCUCUGUUUCCUGAAAGGAGAUGAAAAGAUGGAGCGUUAUUAACCCAUAGGAUCAAAGGAACACAAAUUGGUUGCGGAUGCAUUCGGACUGGAAACUUUCCAGCUGCCUGGCAGUGGAGUCCUGGUCUGCUCCUCCAAAGAGACCCCCUAAGCAAAAGGGACAAGCUCAUUUUACGGUGCAGUUGAUGGAUUGAUGAAAAGCGGUUCGAUGGCAGAGCAGGGACGAUCCCAAGUUUAGAAACGUAGCUUGGAGCAUGGUGCUUUAGGUGGAUGGUUUUCCUGGUAUCCUGAAGAGAGUACUUUAUUGCUGUUUCUGAUCAUAUUUGUCUGUGCCUGAUUUAUGUCCGAUUCAUUCAGGUUUUCAGUCUGUCUGCUGCUCAGCUGCGGAGCUCGUAAUAGACUUUUUUUGAUGCCUGGAUGCAUGAGCUGAGGCUGAAGAAUGGGAGGGUGGGGAAGAAGGUCGGUCUCCCGGGAAGCGUUGAGGACCGGGCACAAAUAAACGGGCUGUCAGCGGGAGCAGCAGUGCUUUUAGCAUCACCGUUUCUCCCGAGCUGGGAGAUGCGUGUUGCAAACAGCCGGGCUGGCUGCUGGGCUUCAAGGUCGGGAGGAAGCCUUCUCCCAUGGCACGCCGGCAGAGACCGCUGGGGCCUUUGUUUUCCGUGAGAAAGAAGCCGCUUUACUGAAUAUGCCAGAAUUUCUCAAGCUUCAAGGUAGGCUUGCUGCGAGUUGAAGGUCUUGAAGUGACCAAGAAGGGAAGUUUCCAGUACUGAGUGGUAGCACGUCCCGGGUGUGCUGCGAGCGCUCCCCCGAAGCCUUUGCUUGGCUUGGAACGGCAAGUCAAGUGUUGAUCCUGUUUACCCUGCUAUACACUUAGCAUCAGUCUGUUUGGCGGGUGGUGGAGCUUGAAGUAAAAAAUCAGGUGAUAGGAAAGAGUAUAGUAGAAACAGGACUGAAAGAAGCAGCCCUCCAAAUUAGAGAAAAUAACAUAACUUUGGAAAAAACGUUAGUGCAGUUCAGAUGCUCCGUUCUGCCCUUUUGGUAGCUUGCUUGCAUUUGCUGGGUAUUGGCUUGUUUUCUUGCCAUAAGUACCAUAGCAAUAAUAGGUAAUAAGUAUAUACAUAAAAGUAAUUAAAAAAAAAAAAACCACCAAGUUUGCCCAUUUCUUUUUAAAUGGGCACUUUUCACAAGCUUGCAGAAACGAGCAGUCAAUGUCCAUUUUCAUAUGACCGUGCUAGAAAUAAAACAAGACUGUGUGAUAGAAAACCAGGCUAUGGACAGGGCUUGCACUUGUCUGGAGAGCCAGCUCCAUAUUUGUUUCCAUACGCUGCUGUCUCCAAAGAGACUGAGCCCCGAGCGGGACAGUGCAGAGAUGUUACCGUCAGAGGCAUUGCUGGAAAACCUUUUCCUCAAAUAUUGAAACAGAUUUUUCCUGGCCUUUUGCUGAACUGUGGACUGGCACUCUGGAAAAGCCUGCCACGCACCCACGCUUAGUUAGGGUUUCUCACUGCUGAAACCAACCUGGAUGCUAUGCUGAAGGCAUGCCUCUCUACCCUUUGCUUUUGCUGUGCGAGGGGCUCCGGGAGGUACCUACGGUGUCCGCUUCUGCUCAGAAAGAUAGAUGUGGAAGAAUUUGGAAGGGUUGGUUUCCUUCGGUCUGUUGGCUCAUGCUGGUUGAAAAGUUGGAGGACCCUUCAGCUCUUUCUUGCACAAUUUGCAGCUACAGCAGGGCCACUUUCUGUGCGCUGACAUCCCCAGUAUUGUUGGUCAGCCUCUUCUGCUGACGCUCGGGAGUGGUGCCGCAACUCCAGCGACCGCGUCCGUUGGGGCCGGUGCGUCCCUCCACACCGUGGGUCGUGCCGAGCGGCGCGAUGGGCUGGCUUCUGCUUCUCCAACGUGCCUGAAUAAAACCGUUUUCUUUUC